AACUGUAUGACUGGCGUGGGUGUGAGGUAGGCGGAAUGCGUUGUGUAGCGGUGAAAUGCAUAGAUAUGACGCAGAACUCCGAUUGCGAAGGCAGCUUACCAACACUUUACGGACGCUGAGGCACGAAAGCGUGGGUAUCGAACAGGAUUAGAUACCCUGGUAGUCCACGCAGUAAACGAUGAAUACUAAUUGUUCGGGGGGCAACCCCUGAGUGAUACAGCGAAAGCGUUAAGUAUUCCACCUGGGGAGUACGCCGGCAACGGUGAAACUCAAAGGAAUUGACGGGGGCCCGCACAAGCGGAGGAACAUGUGGUUUAAUUCGAUGAUACGCGAGGAACCAUACCCGGGCUCAAACGUUGGGGGAAUGCUCCUGAAAGGGAGCAGCCAGCAAUGGUCGCCAACGAGGUGCUGCAUGGUUGUCGUCAGCUCGUGCCGUGAGGUGUCGGCUUAAGUGCCAUAACGAGCGCAACCCCUGCGUCCAGUUACCAUCAAGUCAUGUUGGGGACUCUGGACGGACUGCCGGCGCAAGCCGUGAGGAAGGCGGGGAUGACGUCAAAUCAGCACGGCCCUUACGUCCGGGGCGACACACGUGUUACAAUGGCGUGGAACAGCGGGAAGCCACCUGGCGACAGGGAGCGGACCCCUAAAACACGUCUCAGUUCGGAUUGGAGUCUGCAGCUCGACUCCAUGAAGCUGGAUUCGCUAGUAAUCGCGCAUCAGCCAUGGCGCGGUGAAUACGUUCCCGGGCCUUGUACACACCGCCCGUCAAGCCAUGGGAGCCGGGAGUGCCUGAAGUACGUAACCGGAAGGAGCGUCCAAGGGUAACACUGGUGACUGGGGCUAAGUCGUAACAAGGUAGCCGUA
rnacentral:rRNA from 1 species